CACAGUAAUCGUUCCCACCAUUUUCGUUCCUUCUGGAUAUCUGCGGAAAUCAAAUCUCCGCUGAUCUUCAUUUCCUAAAGAAGAAUAAUGUCGAAUAGGAAACUUUGGAUAUCAGCCUUGAGAGCCUUGCACAGGAACUUUCGUUCAACAUCUCGUUUCUCUAUUGGUAUCUAUCCCAAGCUCGAAUCCUCUGGAGUUUUCUCCUUUUCUUACGAGGUCGGAAAGCCUCCGGGUUAUGGAAGCUGCAGAGAUCGAUUCGCAGAGAUAUGUAGUUUCUCUAGCAAGAAUUUUUGCUCGGAAUCGGCAGAUGGAGGCGUUAGUAGAUGCUGGAACUGCAGCGCCGUUUCGACAUCGAAACUAUUUCUUUCUUGCGAGUCAUGUAAAAGCGUUCAACCGGUUGAUACGUCCGUUGAUUACUUCCAGAUAUUUGGUUUGGACAAAAAGUAUGAAAUUAAGGGUGAUAGUCUCGAGAAAAAGUACAAAGAUUGGCAAAAGAAACUGCACCCUGAUUUAGUUCAUUCAAAAUCUGAGAAGGAAAAAGAGUAUGCUGCUGAACAGUCCGCUCGAGUAAUUGAUGCCUACCGAACACUUAUUAAUCCAUUAUCGAGGGCAAUAUACAUGUUGCGACUAGAGAGUGUACAUGUGGAUGAAGAAACAACAGUUUCAGACCCAGAACUCUUAGCAGAGAUUAUGGAGAUCAGGGAAGCUGUUGAAGAGGCUGAUGAUCCUCAGUCAUUAAAUAAAAUCCAGUGUCAGAUGCAAGAUAAACUAGAAAGUUGGUCCAAAUCCUUUGGAGAUGCAUUCAAGAAUCGAAAAUUUGAAGAAGCCAUAACUUCGACCCAAAGAAUGACGUACUAUGAGCGUGUGAAGGAAGAAAUCAUGAAGAAGCUUUGAUAUAGGCAUGUGGUGCACAUUUUAAGAGGGCGGAGGUACAUGCUGGCUGUGUGUUAGGAGAUCUCUGGCUUUUUCUGGACCUGUUGCUGUACCAUAAUGUAGUCCUUAUUGUAUCAGAGAUUAUGAUAGAUCGGUGGUGUGAUUGUCAUACAAUCUGAGCUUUGAACCUUGUUCAUCAAGAUAGGCGAAGAUACAAUGCUGGUACCCUGCCAACAUUUACACAUUGCUCAUGUUUGGAGUCCAUCUCAGCCCCUUCACUGGCACUGUAAUUUUUGACAUCCAAACAACAUUUGGUCGACCAUUCAGAUACAGAGGACUGGGAAAGGAUACUUAGGUAUGUAUCAUUCAUUUUCAAUUAAAGAUUGUGCUGUAGCUUCCAUAGCCAUCAAUCUUAACAGUCCAAACAGUUUAGCCAUCCACAGGUUGGCCACAAUAAGAGGCAUGAUGAUCAUCCAACCACUAGCCUUUAUAUGGAUGGUCAGCAGAAAAAUGAAUGCAAAUUCAGUGCCAUGGCCAAUCAUAGGAUGGACUAAUACUCAUUUACUGAUAUUUAUUGGUACUUGGUUGUUUCUGUCACAUCACCAUUACUAACAUUGAUGGUUGUGUAUACCACCAGAAACAAUCAACUGCCAUCUGUCCAUUUUAGUGCAUUUGCAUGUAAACACCUUUAGAUUUAAGUUGAGUUUCCGAAGGGAAAAAAAUGAACCAGCCUUGGUUCCUAUGACAUGUUAAUGGUAGUUCUGCAUGUGUACCAAGUAUCCUCAAUGUUCAUGGUGUGUUCAUUACAUGCUGAUCAAUCUGGGCCUUCUUCCAAUAGUUGACCGUCUAUGGAACCAGUUGUAGUUUUAAAACUAUACCAGUCAAGAUAAGUUCCUUCAG